rnacentral:rRNA from 1 species
AUUGAACGCUGGCGGCAUGCCUUACACAUGCAAGUCGAACGGCAGCACGGAGCUUGCUCUGGUGGCGAGUGGCGAACGGGUGAGUAAUAUAUCGGAACGUACCCUGGAGUGGGGGAUAACGUAGCGAAAGUUACGCUAAUACCGCAUACGAUCCAAGGAUGAAAGCAGGGGACCGCAAGGCCUUGUGCUCCUGGAGCGGCCGAUAUCUGAUUAGCUAGUUGGUGGGGUAAAGGCCCACCAAGGCAUCGAUCAGUAGCUGGUCUGAGAGGACGACCAGCCACACUGGAACUGAGACACGGUCCAGACUCCUACGGGAGGCAGCAGUGGGGAAUUUUGGACAAUGGGCGCAAGCCUGAUCCAGCAAUGCCGCGUGAGUGAAGAAGGC